GCGCCCCGCGCGCCCCGGGACCCCCGGGCCUGCUCCGUGGGGCUCCCCGCCUCCACCGCUGCGGGGGGCUCCCAGCCCCAGGCGCCCAUGAAGGCCAGAGGAGGCUUCCAGCGGCCAGUCCUCCCGGCAGGGAGGCCGCGGCCUUGGCCCGAGGGCCCACAGCCACUGCAGGACCCUGAGUGAGGGGCAGCACCCCUAGCCAGCAGCGGCCGCGUCCCCACAGCGCGGGCCUGAGCGGGCCCAAGGAAGCCCCUCGCCACGCUGGCCUUGAGCGGUGGCCACCACCGGAGCGUGGACGGCGGAGGAGACCCCCCUCCCCGUCCCCUGGUCCCCAGUCAACAUGCUCCCGGAAUCCCGGCCGCAGACACUGCGCUCCUACCUGCUCCCUUUAGCAAACUCCUAUUCAUCUUUCAAAGCCCUAGUUUCCCUGUCCCUUGCGUACACCCUUCCCAGAUCCUCCAAGGAGAGCUUCCAUUUUGCUCUGGACUCCUCCUUCCUGGCCCCUUCAACCCUGACACCUGCAGCGGGGUGUCCCCUCCAGUCUGCCACGUGUCUGAACCCCAGGGCCAAAGACCUUGUGCGUGAAUAAAACACGAACUGGUUUCGAGCGCCAGCUCCGUGA